rnacentral:rRNA from 1 species
CUAGUGAACUUUUAACGCUUCUCCGCAUUCUGACCACCCCAAGGUAGCAUAAUCUUUUGUUUUUUAAAUGGGGACUUGUAUCAACGGCAUCCCGAGGGUUUUACUGUCUCCUCUUUCCAAUCAGUGAAAUUGAUCUUCCCGUGAAGAAGCGGGAAUUCCUAUAUAAGACGAGAAGACCCCCUGGAGCUUCAAACUAAAUAGCAAUUUAACCCACAUACCUCCUAAUAACUUUAAAUUUAUGCUAUAAGGUUUUAGGUUGGGGUGACCGCGGAGUAAAACAUAUCCUCCACGACCGAAAGACCACUUUCUUUAUUUACGAGCAACAGCUCUAAAAAUUAGCACACUAACGUCUACUGACCCGAUAUUCGAUCAACGGAACAAGUUACCCUGGGGAUAACAGCGCAAUCUACUUUGAGAGCUCAUAUCGACAAGUAGGCUUACGACCUCCAUGUUGGAUCAGGGUAUCCUAGUGGUGCAGCCGCUACUGA